rnacentral:rRNA from 1 species
AAGGUGUGUAGGUUGCUGAAAUCUUUAUAUGGCCUGAAGCAAGCACCUAAGCAAUGGCAUGAUAAGUUUAAUACAACUCUGACAUCUGUUGGUUUCGUUGUUAAUGAGGCUGACAAAUGUGUAUACUAUCGCCAUGGUGGGGGCGAAGGAGUUAUACUGUGCUUGUAUGUUGAUGACAUACUGAUAUUCGGAACCAACCUCAAAGUCAUUGAGGAGGUCAAGUCGUUUUUGUCUCAGAACUUUGAGAUGAAAGACCUUGGUGUGGCUGAUGUUAUCUUGAACAUCAAGCUACUGAGAGAUAAUGAGGGUGGGAUUACACUUCUGCAAUCCCACUAUGUUGAGAAGGUGUUGAGUCGUUUUGGAUAUUCG